rnacentral:rRNA from 1 species
GACAGAGGGUGCAAACGUUGUUCGGAAUCACUGGGCGUAAAGGGCGCGUAGGCGGCGCGGAUAGUCGGCGGUGAAAGCCCCGGAGCUCAACUCCGGGUCGGCCGUCGAUACUUCCGGGCUUGAGCACUGUAGAGGCAGAUGGAAUUCCGGGUGUAGCGGUGGAAUGCGUAGAGAUCCGGAAGAACACCGGUGGCGAAGGCGGUCUGCUGGGCAGUUGCUG